GCUGGGAUAGCUCAGUCGGUAGAAGAUGAGACUCAAUCUCAGGGUCGUGGGUUUGAGUUCCACAUUGGGCA